AGAACGAUUGAUUUGAUAAAGCAUGAUUUUAAGAACCCGUGUUUAACAACCAAUGCAAUUCUUGUGGAACUCUACAAAUAGAAAAUUAAUACUUCACAAUCUUUGGCGAAUCCUAAGCAAAAAUGUAUUGAUAAUUAUUUCUUCAUUAAGAAAUGUAUUCACUUUUCACCAAUGGCAUACCUUUUUAAAAUUAGAAAUACUGUUAAGAUGCUAAGUUAUAUCAUCAUAGUAUAUACAUUAUUGAACUUCCUAAAUAAUGAUUUUAUAUCUAUAAUAAAUCAGCCUUGUCCUCUUCGGCAUAAAUUAAAAAAUUUAUUUUUUUUGAAAACCGAUGAAAAUUGACAAUAUCAAGAA